rnacentral:lncRNA from 1 species
UUUUCAGAAUAGAGUACUAUCGGUGGCUGCGUUUAAGCAACAGACCAUUAUGUCAUCUUGCUUCAUAUAUUUUGCUCUGAUCUUUUUUAGGAUGAAGCUCAUUUGAGAAAUCUUUCCUCUGCCUUUGGGGAGAAAUAAUUUGCCUCCUUCCACAAGACUGUUGAUGAGAACAGAAGAAGGAACAGAUGGUGGCACCAUCCUGUCUCAGCACCAAACACUGCCCUGGAGUUGUACGUGGUGCAAAAAGCAUCCCCGUGUGGAGAAGCAGAUAGCGCUCCGGCAAAGUAUCAGGAUGGUGGAUUUUAUGGUGGAUUUCUACAGCUGA